AACAUGGUAAAACCAACACCACUGCACAUACGACCGAUAAGAAUUAAAUACAGCCAUUGUGCACGGUACGCUAGUGAAUACAGUAAAUGGCCUAUUAUUUGAGAAAUGCAGGAAACAAUCAGUGGUCGAAAGUAGAGCGUAUAUCCAUUGGCAGACUUUGGAUUCGCAAACCGAAGCAUUGGAUAUAAGCAAACUAGUGAAAUCAUAGUAGGAAUACCAAUAACAAGACCUGAGAAAGCAUCAGUACCUCCCAAAAUUUCAGUGUAUGCAGCCGAAAUUGGCAACGCAAUAGUCAAAGACAUUUCAGACAUGAGAUUGUUGAGUAAUACAAGUGCAAUUGAUCGUUUAGGAGGACAAGCAUCAGGAUCUAAUGCUUUCGGAUAUGAAUUGCUUUCGAGAUUGCUUGUAGCACGUGUAAUGUUGCCUUGUUUAUCAGGAAUUUCCUCCAGUUCAAUAUUUCCAAAAGCAGUUUUUGAGAAACCAGAUCGAUAUUCUGAUACACUAGGAGUGAUAGUGCUUGAACGUGAAAGUCGUCUUUGAGUUUCCUGAGGUUUAUACUGACUCCAUGUCACUGUUUCGGUCGUAGUGCUCAUUUUUACAGAUAUUUUUGCUUUUCCU